AGUGAUUGUCAUUUCCAUCCCGAGCUGCAUGGGACGUCUGCUCUCUGGGUGCCUUCCUGUCAAACCCCGGCUAGAGAAGUGCCAGCUCCUGUGUAUGUUUCCUGGGCCUCCAAGAUAUGAGAGGGGAAGAUAUCUGCCGACAGCCCAUCACAGUUCACGGCUCUUUGUUUAUCCAUUAAUAAUUGAGCAUAGCUGAAGACAGAACAAGGACUGUUUUCCACCCGUGCCGUGUCCCCCCUUUAACCCAAAUGAACUGGCUACACGAGGACAGUAACAUGUUUCCGGGUGCUGACAUCGGUAUAUGGCAGGUAAAAAAAACAUUUUUCCCCACAGAGCGCUCGCCGCCUAGAACAAAGUCGAAACUGUUUCCCCCUCGGAGGCGGCCCUAGAGUGAGAGUCUCCUGACGUCUCCUUUGGGGGGCUUUCAGCAAAAAAUAAGUCGUACAAGCAGGAGCCUCUGCCGGGAAGUGAGUUUACAAAAAAAGUAGGGGACACAGAAAGGACAGUAAUGAGAGAGUGAUUGCUGUUUUCUCUGUUGAUUGCUGGGGAUGCCAUCACUCCAUAUGCUGUGUAUGAUGGGAGAGUCAAAUUAAAAAUGUAGGCUAGUGAUCAGACGACACUGUAAAACUGGGAGUUAAAUCCCUCCAGUGAUAAAAGCAAACAUUUUGGUCCCAGAAAGUGAGCCCCCCCCCCCCUCCCUGUGUUCUGUCAAGUAGGUAAAGUGUUGAUUAGCAUAUUGCACUUAGAUUGACAACGUGUGCUCCAUUACAGAAAACUGCAACUCAGGACAUCUUAUGGCAGCAUCUGGAUAUCCCUAGACCUAACGCCAAAUUAUUUCACCAGAACUACCGUG